rnacentral:sRNA from 1 species
AUAUGAACAACGCAAAUUUCAACCUUCCUGCAAAAGCGUUCCUACGAGGUCGCCAUCCAGUGAUCCAUGAUGUACGGAAAUCGUCUAUUGGAAUGGAGAUCAACCAUUAUGGCCGAUCUUGGGUGCAGUGCCAGCCAUAGUUGCAAAGCUCGUGGCUGGGACUGCAAUGAUUGACCGCACAU